rnacentral:rRNA from 1 species
GAUAAACGCUGGCGGCGUGCCUUACGCAUGCAAGUCGAACGAGGUACCAGACUUCGGUUUGGUACCUAGUGGCGGACGGGUGAGUAACGUGUAAGUGACCUGCCCAGAAGUGGGGGAUAACCAGCCGAAAGGUUGGCUAAUACCGCAUGAGCUCAUCGGUCCAAUCUGAUGAGGAAAGCCGCAAGGCGCUUUUGGAGGGGCUUGCGUCCGAUUAGCUAGUUGGUGGGGUAACGGCCUACCAAGGCUCCGAUCGGUAGCUGGUCUGAGAGGACGGCCAGCCACACUGGGACUGAGAUACGGGCCCAGACUCCUACGGGAGCAGCAGCGAGGAAUCUUGCGCAA